CCUACGGGGGGCAGCAGUGAGGAAUAUUGGUCAAUGGGCGCGAGCCUGCACCAGCCAAGUCGCGUGAGGGAUGAAGGCCCUACGGGUUGUAAACCUCUUUUGCCGGGGAGCAACGGGCGCCACGUGUGGCGCCACUGAGAGUACCCGGCGAAAAAGCAUCGGCUAACUCCGGGCCAGCGGCCGCGGUAAUACGGAGGAUGCGAGCGUUAUCCGGAUUUAUUGGGUUUAAAGGGUGCGUAGGCGGUUCGUUAAGUCAGUGGGAAAAUUUCGGGGGUCAACCCCUGCCCGCCAUUGAAACUGGCGCUCUUGAGUGGAAGAGAGGGAUGCGGAAUGCGUGGUGUAGCGGUGAAAUGCAUAGAUAUCACACAGAACCCCGAUGGCGAAGGCAGCAUGCCGGCUUCCGACUGACGCUGAGGCACGAAAGCGUGGGGAUCGAACAGGAUUAGAUACCCGUGUAGUA
rnacentral:rRNA from 1 species